AUGUCGCUUCUGACUGUUGAAAAGAGAUCAGCUGUUAUUUGUUUAUAUUUUUGCUGAAAAUAAAAUUAUUGAUCAUUUCCAAAAAGCAAAAUAUAUUUUCAUAAUGUAAUGUUUUUUACUCUAAUUUUUUGAGCCGAGGUGUAAAUUAUACAACUAGACAAUUUGUGUAGACCCUAAAAGUCCAGUGAAAAGUGACUACCUCUCAGUAUGAAGUGCAAAUGAUAGGUGCAGAUUUCUAUGGAAAAACAGCUUCCGCCAAUGUUCAUGUGGUACAGCGGUCCGAAUACGGAAGCACUUAUACCAGUGAGAAGGUUGUUGAGUAGCACAAUUUAAACUUCUACAAGAAAGUCUCGUUAGGUGGUUGUAGUUGUUGGUUACAACCAAGUCAUCUUCAAGUUAACAAGACUAUUCAAUUCUGCGGAGCACCGAAGGGAUCGAUCACAAUAAAUAAAACGAUCCCUUUCAAGGUUCAAUUCAACCAAAAGCAGCUACGUUUAGCGUCAACGCUUACUAGCAGCUAAUAUUAAAAAAGACUGCAGAGCCCAGAACAACCGUAAGAUCACCUACAAAAUCGAUACCCGUGCGCCUUGUUUUUUUGUAAGUGUAUUUCUUCAAGCUGACGCUACCGCCGACAUCAACUAAGCCACUGUAAUCACACUCUACAAAGUCAUCCACGCACUCGUCAAGAUUAACCUGAACAUAUAUUGCGAACUUUGGUUCCAAAUCGCACCAAGUAUAGUUAUCGGGGGCGGCGCUAAAAGCGUGAAGCACCUUUAGCUAUAAACAAGUUCUUUCAAUACCGACUGUCAGUAUUAGUCUACACUACUUUCUAUUUAUUUUAGGUCUUUCAAUUCAAUUGAUUCUCGCUACCAAAACUAUUUGGAAAAAUGAGUGUAAGACUUGUCCAUUCCUUUGUAUUGGUCAUACUUUUGCAAUAACAGGAAUGAAAUUAAUAAUAAAUGCGUCAUAAGAUCCGACAAAUUUGUCUAAGUCCGUCAGUCCGAGUUUAUUCUUGUUACAGUAUCUGAAAUACUGCGUCAUAACGUCCGGAAUCUCAUGACGCACACUGACAUUGAAAUGUUAUGACACAGAGGUAAUGCUUAGUAUUCUGGUUCAUACUAAAACUAAAAAGCAAUAUUACUAAAAAAUACUGAACGAUUUUCGUUGAGAUCUCGGUUGAGAAAUUACUGUCAUGUGAUUUCUCUGAACACUGGAGGUUUGCUUAUCAUUUUUUAGACAGAUUGAAAAUAAAUCGCCAUUUUCUUCACACCUAUGGCAUAUUGUAUGCCGAUAAGUUUUCAAUCGUGCAGGUCAUUUAUUUUAGGUUGGCAAGGGAACUUCGUGGAUUGAGAGAAUGCACGAACAAACUCGCUACUGGGAUCAAUGUGAGGAUCUGUAAAAAAAACUCGCGAAUCAGUCCGUUAAGCAAGCCGGGAUGUUAGUGUACUUAUCUCAUUUGUUGUAAUAUUGAGGUGAUCCAGAAGAUUAAGGUUGAACAGAGAAUGCGCAAAAAUCGAAAACGCAGUACUGUAACAACAUUCUACAUAAGCUGAUUGAUUUUUAUGAAGAUCUAACACACGGUGUGGAAAAAACUGUUUUUUUCGUUUUCAAUUUUUGACCAUUCUCUGUCCAACCUUAAUAAUUUAAAAUUUUCAAAAGCAUGCGGCGCAUGGAUGGAUUCGGAGUGGGACAGCCCUGAUAACCAUCUUAUCAUUCAAGAGCCUAACGACCUGUUCAGGGUCAUCCAAACAAUAUGUGGAAUAGCUGGACUAUAUGGGUUAAAAUUGGCGUAUAAUAUUUUUAUUAGGGAGGACAGCUUAGCGAGCGUGUUCAAAAUAAUUGCAGAAAGUGUAGCAGAUGAAAAAAAAAUUAAUUUAGAUUUCAACUUUCCAACUUUUGGCGAUAUUUAAUUGAUACAUAAACUGAAAAUGACCAAAUAAAUAAAUAAUAAAAUAUCUAAAAUAAUUAAACAUACGAACAAAUAGAUGGGUAUAAUUAAAUAAAUAAACAAAUAAAUAAAUAAGUUUUUAAUUAAUAAAUGAAAAAUAGAUUAGAAUGAAUAAACCUAUAAAUAUAAACAGAUCAAUAAAUGAAUAAAUAAAUAGAGACAGGGACAGAGAAUGACCGGAACGGAGAGAAUAGAGAAACGGUGAAAAUUCACCUUUUUAUUAGAAACACCGAGAAAAGAUGUCCUCAAGCAG